GUUCAUUACAUUUAAAUUAAGGGCAUAAAGUAUGGCUGAAAUUCUCAAAUUCGUUUAUGCUUUGAUCAUCUUUCUUUCUUUUAUUCUGGCCGUAAUCAGCGAAGAUAUUGAAAACUGCGAAACUCAUUCAGAUUGUCCACAUUAUAUGUGUACCUCACCAGAAACUCCUUGGUGCGUGGCAUACCAAUGUGGGUGCUACUAAUAUUGUUCAAAUUUUCUCAUAUUUUGAUUUAUGCUUCUAUUAGCUUUCAAAUACUUUUGACAAGCUCAAAGCGUGUUAUCAUUGUAUGGAAGUAUUGAAUUACCUUUUUGUCAAAGAAAAUAUCAAAAACAACGGUGCAUAAAUAUAACCAGCAACUUUAAUGAAUAAAGAAAAUUUAUGAGUGAGAUCAUGAACCAAUUCUGCGUUGAUACCAAUAGUGAUUUGUGGGGGAUUCGUCUAGGAGCUGGUUAACUGAUGGGUUAUGUCCUUAGUCGUCUUCAUCUUGUUCAGAUGUGGCCGAGUGUUACCGAUAGGAAUUUAGAUGGUUUUCUGAUGGUGUUUUAUUUUUUCACUCUUGUUUUUACGUGGGAUUCUUUGAUUUUAUUAUCGCUUGACUUGAGUACUUUUUGUACUUAAAUUUUUAUAUUUGUUUGUA